AGAUUUAACGAAAGUGGCGAACGGGUGAGUAACACGUGAGCAACCUGCCUUACACAGGGGAUAGCCAUUGGAAACGGUGAUUAAUACCCCAUAAGACCACAAUACCGCAUGGUAAAAGGGUAAAAGGGAUACCGGUGUAAGAUGGGCUCGCGUCUGAUUAGCUAGUUGGUGGGGUAAAGGCCUACCAAGGCGACGAUCAGUAGCCGGUCUGAGAGGAUGAACGGCCACAUUGGAACUGAGACACGGUCCAAACUCCUACGGGAGGCAGCAGGU
rnacentral:rRNA from 1 species